rnacentral:lncRNA from 1 species
CCUAUGUCAUAGAGAAUGAGUGCAUUUUCUGAAGCGUAAACACCUAUGACAAGCCUGCUUGCCUUCACUCAACCCCAAAACAUAGAACCUUUCAUUACAAGAUCUGAACCUGACAGACAAUCCAAGAAAUUACAAAAAUUUGGUACAUUCACAAAAACAGAUGAGUUUGUUUAUACAGGUUCUGAAGAUUUCUCAGAGUUCACACUAGACAUAGCAGAGAAAAUUUCAGGAUGAUUCACCAGAAUGAUCAAAGCCAUGUGAGGCAUCUCUUUUAGAGGUAUGAAUUAAAUUUAACUUAUCAACUGAAAGAACAAAGAGUGACUUAGUCUCUCUACAUCCAUAAGAACAUAAAUUUCAAGAAUAAGGGGAUCUUCAAAGCAG